UACGUAGGGGGCAAGCGCUGUCCGGAAUCAUUGGGCGUAAAGAGCGUGUAGGCGGCUUGAUAAGUCGGCUGUGAAAGUCAAGGGCUCAACCCUUGAAUGCCGGCCGAUACUGUCAAGCUAGAGUCCGGAAGAGGCGAGUGGAAUUCAUGGUGUAGCGGUGAAAUGCGCAGAUAUCAGGAGGAACACCAAUGGCGAAGGCAGCUCGCUGGGACGGUACCGACGCUGAGACGCGAAAGCGUGGGGAGCGAACAGG
rnacentral:misc_RNA from 1 species